rnacentral:rRNA from 1 species
AUUGAACGCUGGCGGCGUGCUUAACACAUGCAAGUCGAUCGGUAACAGGUGUAGCAAUACAUGCUGACGAGAGGCGGACGGGUGAGGAACGCUUGGGAAUCUGCCUAUCAGCGGGGGACAACCCGGGGAAACUCGGGCUAAUACCGCAUACGCUCUACGGAGGAAAGCCGGGGACCGCAAGGCCUGGCACUGAUAGAUGAGCCCAAGUCGGAUUAGCUAGUUGGCGGGGUAACGGCCCAACAAGGCGACGAUCCGUAGCUGGUCUGAGAGGACGAUCAGCCACACCGGAACUGAGACACGGUCCGGACUCCUACGGGAGGCAGCAGUGGGGAAUAUUGGACAAUGGGCGAAAGCCUGAUCCAGCGACGCCGCGUGGGUGAAGAAGGCCUGCGGGUUGUAAAGCCCUUUCGGUAGGGACGAAAGCUCUUGCCCUAACAAGGCAGGAGGCUGACUUAACCUACAUAAGAAGCACCGGCUAACUCUGUGCCAGCCGCCGCGGUAACAC